GGGAGGAGCAGGGGGGAAUAUUGGACAAUGGGCGCAAGCCUGAUCCAGCCAUGCCGCGUGGGUGAAGAAGGCCUUCGGGUUGUAAAGCCCUUUUGUCCGGAAAGAAAAGCACUGGAUUAAUACUUCGGUGUUCUGACGGUACCGGAAGAAUAAGCACCGGCUAACUUCGUGCCAGCAGCCG
rnacentral:rRNA from 1 species